AAGCAAAUCCCAAAAAUAAACGUCUCAGUUCGGAUUGUAGUCUGCAACUCGACUACAUGAAGCUGGAAUCGCUAGUAAUCGCAGAUCAGAAUGCUGCGGUGAAUACGUUCCCGGGUCUUGUACACACCGCCCGUCAAACCAUGAGAGCUGGCAACACCCGAAGUCGGUAGUCUAACCGCAAGGAGGACGCCGCCGAAGGUGGGGUUGAUGAUUAGGGUUAAGUCGUAACAAGGUACC
rnacentral:rRNA from 1 species